rnacentral:lncRNA from 1 species
UAAAAAAAUCAAUCUACCAAUCUUUAGCAGUAAGAGGGAAAGUUAGACCUCAGCUGGGGAACUUUCCUGUCCAUGUCCACAGAUAGAGCAGAGGACAAAGCCAUAGGUUGGAUCAGAAGUGUCCUUUUAGGAGUCAGAGUUGGGAGAAGGAGACAUCCUGGGACUGUUCAUCCUAGUUAAUGAAGUGGGCAAUUCUCAGGCCAUUAGGGGGUUUUAGAGCAGACCGACAUAUAAUUAGUCAGCAUUUCUCAGCCCAGCCAGGCCUGCUGCUAGUGUGGGAGGGGUCCUGCUCACCAUCUGUACCCCUGGCUUGGAGCCUGCUGGUACCCUGGGGGUUGUGGGGAUAAGGAGGCAUCAGGCCGGGCGCGCUGGCUCACGCCUGUAAUCCCAGCACUUUGGGAGGCCGAGGUGGGCGGAUCACAAGUUCAGGAGAUCGAGACCAUCCUGGCUAACACGGUGAAACCCCAUCUCUACUAAAAAUACAAAAAAUUAGCCAGGCGCGGUGGCAGUGCCUGUAGUCCCAGCUGCUCGGGAGGCUGAGGCAGGAGAAUGGUGUGAACCCGGGUGAACCUGGGAGGCGGAGCUUGCAGUGAGCCGAGAUUGCGCCACUGCAUUCUAGCCUGGAUGACAGAGCAAGACUCUGUCUCCAAAAAAAAAAAAAAAAAAAAAAAAGAAGGCAUCAAAAGCCUCCACAUCACAGAAGCUACCCCUGUACAGCGUGAAGUUUCCUAAGAGGUCAGUAGUUUGAUUCUGGGGUCUCCUUAGAGGCUCAGGCCAGGGACCUUUCUCUCCUCCCAUGCUGAGUUUCAUGAUGGCUUUCAGGGGAGCAUCAGCUGUUAGAGUCACCCCUACCCUGUCCCUUAAAGGAAAGACGGUGGAGAGGACGGCUGAGCGCCUGUUGUCAGGAAAGACAGUACUGGUCUGUUUUCUCGGGAGUCUGGUUUCAGAUUGUCCUGUAUUCCCUUCCUGGCUCUGGUCCCACUGGCCUCUUUUCGGUGACAUUCUCCCCCAGGAACCAUCCCUGGCCCUUCCCUCCCCCAGCCCUAGCCAGUUCUCCCAGACACACUGGAAGAGAACACUGACCUUACCCAACUAUCUGCUGGGAUCCCACCCAAAUUUAUAGCCCAUUCCUCCCUCAUUCAUUCAUUCAGCAAGUAUGUACUGAACACCAACUGUGUGGCAUACACUGGCUUGGGAGAUUGCAAGGACCAGUCUCUAAGCUUUUGGAGGCCAGCCCAGUGUGGAAGAGAGGUACCUCAGGUGUGAGGGUGCCAUGGCUGAGGGAUAUUUGUACAUGUAUGGGAUGCUAUGGGAGCUCCUUGCAGCCUGAGAAGCCAGUCCUGUGAGCCAGGUCCUGAGGGUUGAAGAGGAGUUUUCCGGGCAGGGAAGGGGUAGGAAAGGCACUCUGGGCAGAGGGUACAGCAUGUGUAAACACGUGGAGAUGAGAAUGAGCAUAGCACUGUUGGGGCUCCCAUGGCAGGGAGAAUAGAAGACAAGGCUAGGAAGGUACACUGAGGCUACUGCAGGGUCCACAGAGGAAUCAGAAUUUCAUUCUGAGGAUGAAUGAAAUCAUCCUCAGAGGAUGAAGCCACCAGGAAUUUCAGGCAGAGAGUGAAGUGAUCAGAGUUGUUUUUUGGAUAGAUGGUUAUCUGGAUGUGGUGUUGGAGCUGGGAGAUUUGGCUCUGAGGUGUGUCAUUUAAAAUAAUAGCUUCUCGGCAGUGGCUCACACCUAUAAUCCCAGCCAAGAUUCCUCCUUUGGGAGGCCAAGCUGGGAGGAUCGCUUGAGGCCAGGAGUUAGAGACUGCAGUGAGCUAUGAUCAUGCCAUUGUCUUCCAGCCUGAGUGUCAGAGUGAGACCCUGUCUCUAAAAAAAAUUAAAAAAUAAAAAAUAAAAAAUAGCUUCUCCUUUCCCUUAUGCCAGGUUCCAGUCUUGAGAGGAAAGGAAUCCCUACCCACCACUCCCUGGAUCAUCAGAUAUCCCUAUCCCAACCUCUCCUAUGGGACUAGUUCAUCUCAGCCAGUCUCAAAGAUUCUAGGAUAACUUCAAUGGCAUUUGAAAUUAUCUAAGUGUGCUUGGAUAACCACCCCCUCAAACUGAGACCUGGUUAGGGACUGACUCAAAGACCCUGAGUCCUCGGCUAAGGGUACAGGAGAGGGCAGGGGCUCCAGGCCCAGCUAGGUGGAUCUCCAUCUGUCUCUGAGGACUGACCCUUUCCCCACAAGGACCUGCCAUAAAAAUCGACUUGCGAUUUUUAGCUGAGUGGCUUCUCUUUUCCACUUUGGACUUCUCAGUGUAUAGCAGGUUCAAGCCUGCAACCACCAAAGUGCAGAGUGUGGAGUGUUUGUGCCCCCUCUUUCCUCCAACCUCCAUAUCCUGCCAUGUGAGCUCAGGGAAUGCAAAUGCAUUUAAAUAUCCAUCUAAAGCAAACAUAAUUAGAAAAAUCAAUCAGCUGGAGGACCCCCCAAAGUUUAAUACAUUUUCAAUACCACCAGGAAUGGAUUUUUGGUCCCUUUCUGCAGGUCUGGGUUGCCAGACGUUUUAUUUCUGGGGAGGAGGGCUCUGGGCUGAGGAGCUCAGUGGGUGGGAGGAGGGAAUGGGACUGUUGCUGAUCCUCAAAGGCCUCUGUAGGAUGGAGGGAGGGGACCUUACUCCCUUCCCCACCCCAGAUGCAGGAGUCACCCAGCUUCCUUCUCUGCGCUGUUUCCUUCACAAAUUAGACAUUGGUUUGGGAAACAAUGUAGCCUCGUUAAACAUUUAAUGAAAUAAACAAAUAAUCAC